CCUACGGGGGGCUGCAGUGGGGAAUAUUGGACAAUGGGCGAAAGCCUGAUCCAGCCAUGCCGCGUGUGUGAAGAAGGCCUUCGGGUUGUAAAGCACUUUCAGUGGGGAAGAAAGCCUUGGGGCUAAUACCCUCGAGGAAGGACAUCACCCACAGAAGAAGCACCGGCUAACUCCGUGCCAGCAGCCGCGGUAAUACGGAGGGUGUGAGCGUUAAUCGGAAUUACUGGGCGUAAAGCGCGCGUAGGCGGUCUGAUAAGCCGGUUGUGAAAGCCCCGGGCUCAACCUGGGAACGGCAUCCGGAACUGUCAGGCUAGAGUGCAGGAGAGGAAGGUAGAAUUCCCGGUGUAGCGGUGAAAUGCGUAGAGAUCGGGAGGAAUACCAGUGGCGAAGGCGGCCUUCUGGACUGACACUGACGCUGAGGUGCGAAAGCGUGGGUAGCAAACAGGAUUAGAUACCCGUGUAGUC
rnacentral:rRNA from 1 species